GCCUGUUUAACAAAAACAUCGCCUUUUGUAAAAAUAUAAGGUCUGGCCUGCCCACUGAAGUUGAAGGGCCGCGGUAUUUUGACCGUGCAAAGGUAGCAUAAUCAUUCGUCUUUUAAUUGAAGGCUGGCAUGAAUGGUUGGAUGAGGUAAAAGCUUUCUCUUAUAAAAUAGUGAUAAUUUAGCUUUUCAGUCAAAAGGCUGAAAUAGAAUUAAAGGACGAGAAGACCCUAUAGAUCUUUAUAAAACUAUUUAAUAAUGUUAGAUGAAGUUUACUAUUAUAAAAAUUUUAUUUGGUUUGGGUGACAAGGAAAUAACAUAACUUUCUAAAUUAAAUCACUUAUAAGUUAAUAAAUGAUCCAUAAAUAAUGAUUAAAAGAAUAAGUUACCUUAGGGAUAACAGCAUAAUCUUCUUUGAGAGUUCUAAUCGACAAGAAGGGUUGUGACCUCGAUGUUGGACUAAGAUUUAACCAAGGUGUAGUAGUUUUGGUUAAAGGUCUGUUCGACCUAUGAUAUCUUACAUGAUCUGAGUUCAAACCGGAGCUCC
rnacentral:rRNA from 1 species